UCUGGUCUAGAUAUUUGGAAGGGAUUAGAGAAGAAGUUAACAUGCUACUUCUGCGGACUUGUCCUAUGAAAGAGCUUGGAACUUUAGAUGCUGCUGCAGCCAAGAAGCCAAUGGACAAAAACAACCAUAAAACCUUCUGCAAUGAAAGCAGUUUAAUACUUCCAAUAAAGAAAACUAUAGCUUCAUCAAUGUUGUGAACAGGAGUGGGAUUCUACCAGUUUGGGCCAGUUCAGGCAAACUGGUAGCUCCGAUGUUCAGCUGGGUGGGAACUGGUUCGCUCCAAUGAUCAGGUGGGCCCACCCACCUGCCUCUGCACUUUACUGACCUAUAUCCUCUCAGCUGAUUCGCGCAGAGCAGAUUGCUGCUCCUCAGCUGUGUUACUCCCCAGAAGUAACACGGAAGGUAAGUUUUUGUAAA